UACGGGGGGGGCAAGCGUUGUUCGGAAUUACUGGGCGUAAAGGGCUCGUAGGCGGCCAACUAAGUCAGACGUGAAAUCCCUCGGCUUAACCGGGGAACUGCGUCUGAUACUGGAUGGCUUGAGAUUGGGAGAGGGAUGCGGAAUUCCAGGUGUAGCGGUGAAAUGCGUAGAUAUCUGGAGGAACACCGGUGGCGAAGGCGGCAUCCUGGACCACGACUGACGCUGAGUGAGCGAAAGCCAGGGGAGCAAACGGG
rnacentral:rRNA from 1 species